rnacentral:misc_RNA from 1 species
GAUGAAGAACGCAGCGAAAUGCGAUACGUAAUGUGAAUUGCAGAAUUCAGUGAAUCAUCGAGUCUUUGAACGCACAUUGCGCCCUCUGGUAUUCCGGAGGGCAUGCCUGUCCGAGCGUCAUUGCUGCCCUCAAGCACGGCUUGUGUGUUGGGCUCCGUCCCCCGAUCCCGGGGGACGGGCCCGAAAGGCAGCGGCGGCACCGCGUCCGGUCCUCGAGCGUAUGGGGCUUUGUCACCCGCUCUGUAGGCCCGGCCGGCGCUUGCCGAUCAACAAAAUUUUUAUCCAGGUUGACCUCGGAUCAGGUAGGGAUACCCGCUGAACUUAAGCAUAUCAAUAAGCGGAGGA